GGAUUCUGAGCGUGAUUCGCGAAUCACUCGUAAUGAUUAGGUCGUCGGUUCGAUUCCGACAGGCGGCUCCG
rnacentral:tRNA from 1 species